UACGAAGGGGGCUAGCGUUGCUCGGAAUUACUGGGCGUAAAGCGCACGUAGGCGGCUUCUUAAGUCGGGGGUGAAAUCCUGGAGCUCAACUCCAGAACUGCCUUCGAUACUGGGAAUCUUGAGUCCGGAAGAGGUGAGUGGAACUGCGAGUGUAGAGGUGAAAUUCGUAGAUAUUCGCAAGAACACCAGUGGCGAAGGCGGCUCGCUGGGCCGGUACUGACGCUGAGGUGCGAAAGCGUGGGGAGCAAACAGG
rnacentral:rRNA from 1 species